rnacentral:rRNA from 1 species
UGGGGAAUAUUGCACAAUGGAGGGAACUCUGAUGCAGCGACGCCGCGUGAACGAAGAAGGCUUUCGAGUCGUAAAGUUCUUUUAUAUGGGAAGAUAAUGACGGUACCAUAAGAAGAAGCCCCGGCUAACUACGUGCCAGCAGCCGCGGUAAUACGUAGGGGGCUAGCGUUGUCCGGAAUCACUGGGCGUAAAGGGUUCGCAGGUGGAAAUGCAAGUCAGGUGUAAAAGGCAGUAGCUUAACUACUGUAAGCAUUUGAAACUGCAUAUCUUGAGAAGAGUAGAGGUAAGUGGAAUUUUUAGUGUAGCGGUGAAAUGCGUAGAUAUUAAAAAGAAUACCGGUGGCGAAGGCGACUUACUGGGCUCAUUCUGACGCUGAGGAACGAAAGCGUGGGUAGCAAACAGG